CGACGAGCGGCGGCAAGCCGGAGCAGGAAGCGGCCGCGGAAGCAUCGUAAUCUGACUGUCAUAUGAUACAACAGAAUUUAUUGUCCAUAGAAGACCACUAUGUGCUGUGAAAACUAAGUUUGUUGUACUAAAAAGUUCGAUUAUUGAUCUGUGUGAGGACAUCAAUUUUCUGCUAUUUUUAAAGCGAAGGCUUAACGCACACCAAUGCACGCAUCUCAAACAAUGGUGACUGAACUGUUAUACGGAACUAAUGCGGCGGCAAACAAACAUGAAAAGAUGUCAG